UUUUAGACAGAAGAAUGGUCCCUAGGAACAACCAGGCUGUCUCUCAAGUGUUGAUUCACUGGUCUAAUGGUCUGCCUACUGAUGCUACAUGGGAGGAUUGGAGCUAUAUUCACUCACAUUUUCCAGAUUUUAAUCCUUGAGGACAAGGAUUCUUUCAGAGAGGAAUGCAAUGUCACAUCUGUAAUCCCUUAUGAGUCAUAAUGUAAUAUGUGAGGGUAGAGUAGUCAGUAUAUGUAGUGAGUUGUUAGAUGAGGGACACUUGUCAGUAGAUGAGUGAAAGUAGGAUUUGUUAGAGAUAAGAGAAAAAACAUGAGUCUGAAUGAAUGGAUAUGAAUUGAGUUGUAAUAGAACCAGAGGCUUAGUUUCGAUUAGAAACUUGAGAGUUAAUCAAUCUAUUCUUCAAAUUAUGUUAUUUGUUGAUUAGAUUGUUACACAAUGGUUCAAGAUACACAGGCAGCAAGAGGAAUUCUUCGAAGACUUGGUCACUUGGUAUUGCAGCACGGUUUAAAGCCAAGAAGCCUAUCUAUUGCACCUGGUUUAAGC
rnacentral:lncRNA from 1 species